GCAUUGGUGGUUUAAUGGUAGAAUUCUUGGCUCCCAUGUGAGAGACCUGGUUUGAUUCCCAGCCAGUGCC
rnacentral:tRNA from 1 species